rnacentral:rRNA from 1 species
UACGUAGGUGGCAAGCGUUGUCCGGAUUUAUUGGGCGUAAAGCGAGUGCAGGCGGUUCAAUAAGUCUGAUGUGAAAGCCUUCGGCUUAACCGAAGAAGUGCAUCGGAAACCGGGCGACUUGAGUGCAGAAGAGGACAGUGGAACUCCAUGUGUAGCGGUGGAAUGCGUAGAUAUAUGGAAGAACACCAGUGGCGAAGGCGGCUCUCUGGUCUGUAACUGACGCUGAGGCUCGAAAGCAUGGGUAGCGAACAGG